ACCAGUUUGUAGUGAGAGGAUAGAGAGAAUGGAGGGGUCGGUAGGGAAGGGAGGGGGCUGUUGUCAUCCUGGAACACUUAGUGUCGGUGAGUGGACGGGAUGAUGAAAUAAAGGAAAGGAAAUAAAGAAAAUCAGGUGAUGGGACCUACUUACAGAAAAGUUGAAAAAAGAAACUGAGGAAGGGCAGGGCAUUGGGGGCGGAUUUGCCAGUCGGUCGGUGGAAGGAAUUCAUGAGAUCUAGGAACUUGCUGAAAGGGGCUGAUUGAAUGGGGAGGAAAGCAAAGUUGCUGGCACACCACCCAUCUUAGGCAGAAUGACCCUGCGCCCCAAAUGUCUCCCACCCAGCCCCAACGGUGGAAGCCUGCAGAAGCCGGCGGGCCCCCUUCACGCCCGGCUGGGAGAUGGAGGGAAAAAAACAUAUAUCCCAAAGAAGGCUUUCGCUAAGCUUGAUUCAAAGUUCUUUUAGAAACGAGAAAAAGGAUUAAGGAUAGAUACAACAGACGGAAGGAAACGCAACCAGGAUUGUGGAAACAACUUGGCGAAGAUAUAAUCCGAGCUGGCGCCCCACCCUGCCCGAUCCCAGGCUUCGGCGAGGCGUCUCUGUGGCCGGGCCCGAGGGACCAGGCGCCCCGAUGGCGAGGAGAAGAAGAAGAAAGGCCGAGAAUCGGUCCCCAAGGGUCGCCUAAGGACUCUCUCUCUCCACUCCCUACCAAUACUUUGCGUCGCGCGCCAAGCCCUCCGGAUCCCCGAAAAGGCCUGGCCAGGCGACGCUGCCUCUCCCUGACGGGCUAAGUCACUUUCACCUCCAAUAAAAUUGGAAUCGCCGGCGACGCGAGUGUCUAUGUAUUGCUCCGGCGCCCCCUAGAACGGGUGGGACCGGGAGCGCAACAGCAUUGAAGUAAAAAUUGAGUUGUUUUUCCCCUUCUCCCGCGCGAUCAAGGCGAGGGAAGUCUUGGUGUCAAGGCUCCUGGAACAUCCUGAUUUGAGGAAAGAAAAGCGCUACUGAUUUUUCACCGUGCAACCCCUUCUCCCCCGCACAAAGUACACACACAGUAGUACCGCACGUUUGGGUGCAGAAAUACUUCUCAUCUAUUGUUUUGAG